AAAAUCCCCUCCCCAAACUCCCGACACGACCCGCGCUGCUCCCCUGCUCUCCGCGUGUCCUCCUCCGCCGCCGCAGCUUCCUCCUCCGCCGCUCACACCUGCCUCGCGCAGCCCCCCUAGCCCCCUUGCCUACCUCCCAAAUCUCCCCUCUUUCACCACAAAAUCGGUUCUUCUCCUCCCGUCGUGCCUCCUGCUCGCGCGCGGCGACGGUACGUCCUCCUCGUCGCUCUCGUCGCCCCCGUCGCCGGAGGAGGUGCGGGGCAGGCAGAAGUGGCUCGCGCUGUGCCUGCGCUACCUCGGGUGCAAGUGGGCCGCCGUGUCGCGGGCCUACGCGCCGGUCGCCGCCUCGGCCGUUCGCCCAUCCGCGGAGGCCUGCGUAUUGGUGCCCUAGGCUCUGUUGAUUUACAAGGUCAUGUUGGUUUCUUCAGUGGGGAGAGGCGAGAAGAAUUGUUGCAUCUGGAAAUGGAGGUCAACACCAUCUACAGGACAAUGAAGCAAAUAAUCUACUGCAAUUUGAUCUACUGUAAAUUACCGAAUCAAUUGACAGCUACUCCUAGUUGCAUAAACCUGGCUGGUGCUUGCACUAUUUACUGAAAAUAAAUCAUUAUUUACUGAAGAUAAAUCUGAGGACAUGAUCAAUUGUGCUUCAAAUUACAAAGCAAGCAAGAUUCGUCACUGGAGAUUAAAAAUCAAGGAGCCCUGUACUUCUUCUCACCGACAACAGCACGAGCAGGGGACCUUCGGGCGGCAACACACGAGCAGGGGACCUCCGGGCGGCAACACGAGCAGGGGACCAACAACAACUUGCAGAGGAGCAGCAGAAGGAGCUCGAGCUUGAUGUCCAGGACGAGCUUGAGGGAGCUCGAGGUCCAGGCGUGGCGGGAACCCGCGGUUGAGGCGCGCGCAGGUCCUGGGCGGCGACGGCGCAUAUCCUGGGUGGUGGGAGGGGAUAUCGGACACGCAGGCCUGGCGAUGGUGGCCCAGGUCCUAGGUGGCAGAGGAGCAUGUCCUGGGCGACGGCGAAGCAAGCAAUUCGGUGGCGCAGAUCCUGGGCGACGGAGCAGCACGUACUGGAGCAAGCAAUUGGGCGAAGCAGGACCUGGGCGUUGGAGGAGUGUCAGGCUUGCUCUAUUGUUGACACUAGACAUGCAACAGUAGCGAUUCAGUUUGCCCAGCCCAACGUCAGCCGUCGAUCUACCAUCCAAGGGACGCGGAAGAGUGGUACCGCUUCGCGGCCCAGAUCGUCGUCACAGCCGUUGAUCUGAAAACGGACGGUUGCUACCGUUUCACUUACUUUUUGAAAGUUACCGCAUGUUGUCCUUUUAUUGCUCAUGUCGCUGUCGCUCCUUUUUACCUCGCUAAAACCCUUUUAAGCUCGCCUCCGGAUUGUGGAGAGGGCAUCUUGACUUGUAUCUGGGCUUGGCCCUCGAGCCGCCGUGUUCCGGCUGGCCACAAACCCUAGAACUCCAGCUUGAGUGAAUGAAAAUUGAUCCCCAAAA